rnacentral:rRNA from 1 species
CCCUUAGAUGUCCUGGGCCGCACGCGCGCUACACUGAACGGAUCAGCGCGUUUUCCCUUCCCGAGAGGGACGGGUAACCUGCUGAACCCCGUUCGUGGUAGGGAUCGGGGCUUGCAAUUAUUCCCCGUGAACCAGGAAUGCCCAGUAAGUGCAAGUCAUAAGCUUGCGUUGAUUACGUCCCUGCCCUUUGUACACACCGCCCGUUGCUACUACCGAUUGAACGUUUUAGUGAGGUACUCGGACUGAGCCUCAGAAGAUUCACGUCUUUUGUGCUGCUCGGGAAGAUUCCCAAACUUGAGCGUUUAGAGGAAGUAAAAGUCGUAACA